rnacentral:rRNA from 1 species
GACCAGACUCCUACGGGAGGCAGCAGUGGGGAAUAUUGCACAAUGGGGGAAACCCUGAUGCAGCGACGCCGCGUGAGUGAAGAAGUAUUUCGGUAUGUAAAGCUCUAUCAGCAGGGAAGAUAAUGACGGUACCUGAGUAAGAAGCCCCGGCUAACUACGUGCCAGCAGCCGCGGUAAUACGUAGGGGGCAAGCGUUAUCCGGAUUUACUGGGUGUAAAGGGAGCGUAGACGGCAUGGCAAGUCUGAAGUGAAAGCCCGGGGCUCAACCGCGGGACUGCUUUGGAAACUGUGCAGCUAGAGUGCAGGAGAGGUAAGUGGAAUUCCUAGUGUAGCGGUGAAAUGCGUAGAUAUUAGGAGGAACACCAGUGGCGAAGGCGGCUUACUGGACUGUAACUGGCGUUGAGGCUCGAAAGCGUGGGGAGCAAACAGGAUUAGAUACCCCAGUA